GACGAACGCUGGCGGCGUGCUUAACACAUGCAAGUCGAACGGGUCUGCCCUGUUUUUUGCGGGGUGGGUCAGUGGCGAACGGGUGAGUAACACGUGAGUAACCUGCCCCUCACUUCUGGAUAACCGCUUGAAAGGGUGGCUAAUACGGGGUGUUCUGGCUGUGCCGCAUGGUGUGGCUGGGAAAGAUUCACUUUUGUGGUGUUUUGGUGGGGGAUGGGCUCGCGGCCUAUCAGCUUGUUGGUGGGGUGAUGGCCUGCCAAGGCUUUGACGGGUAGCCGGCCUGGGAGGGUGGGCGGUCACACUGGGACUGAGAUACGGCCCAGACUCCUGCGGGAGGCAGCAGUGGGGGGUAGUGCACAAUGGGCGGAAGCCUGAUGCAGCGACGUCGCGUGAGGGAUGGAGGCCUUCGGGUUGUGAACCUCUUUCGCCGGUGAAGAAGGUCCUGCUCUUUGUGGUGGGGUUGACGGUAGCCGGGUUAUGAAGCGCCGGCUAACUACGUG
rnacentral:rRNA from 1 species